GCCCUCCACGGAACGGGGGGUAAACGGCGGCCCUAGCCUGAGGGUCCUAAGGUAGCAUGAUAAGUUGGCGUUUAAUUGGCGUCUAGAAUGAAUGGGCACACGUGGGAGCGACUGUCUCACGCUUAACGAAUGAAACUAACCUGCAGGUGAAAAGGCCUACAUGCGUAAGGGGGACGACAAGACCCUACGAAGCUUUACGGUCACUUUCGUUACAACCCGCAUGACGGCAGUGAAGUUUUGUUGGGGCAACAGGGUGGAUAUGUCCCACUCGAUUUAAUCCUAGUACCCUAUCUGGAUUGGUGUAUUCUUUGUCAUACGUGAAAUAGCCAUUUGGUAAUGAAAACGAUUAAGUUACUCUAGGGAUAACAGCGCAAUACCCUCAUAGAGUUCAUAUCGACGAGGGUGCUUGUGACCUCGAUGUCGGCUUAUCGUAUCCCCCAGGCGUAGAAGCUUGG
rnacentral:rRNA from 1 species